rnacentral:lncRNA from 1 species
CGUAUAGUUGCAGUUCAUUUAUAUAAAUGUGACAAAGCCAGUAUAGUUUAAACACGUCCUUCAGAGAUUCUUUUUAAACCUUUCCUGUUGAAAAGUGAUAUCCCAAGUAUAAAUACAGUAAAGUACACACACUAAAGGGUAAAGAAAUAUGGAAAGAAGGUUUAGAGAAGGUAUAGAGAAGGUAUAGAGAAGGUAUAGAAGGUAGAGAGAAGGUUUAGAGAAGGUAUACAGGUAUAGAGAAGGUAUACAGGUAUAGAGAAGGUAUACAGAAGGUAUAGAGAAGGUUUAGAGAAGUUAUACAGGUUUAGAUAAGGUAUAGAAGGUAUAGAGAAGGUUUAGAGAAGGUAUACAGAAGGUAUAGAGAAGGUUUAGAGAAGGUAUACAGGAAUAGAGAAGGUAUACGGAAGGCAUACAGAAGGUAUAGAGAAG